rnacentral:rRNA from 1 species
GUCUACGGCCAUACCACCCUGAACACACCUGAUCUUGUCUGAUCUCGGAAGCUAAGCAGGGUGGGGCCUGGUUAGUACUUUGAAGGGAGAACUUUGGUAGUGGGUGUAGUGUGGAAC